rnacentral:rRNA from 1 species
GAUGAACGCUGGCGGCGUGCCUAAUACAUGCAAGUCGAGCGAACGGACGAGAAGCUUGCUUCUCUGAUGUUAGCGGCGGACGGGUGAGUAACACGUGGAUACCCUACCUAUAAGACUGGGAUAACUUCGGGAAACCGGAGCUAAUACCGGAUAAUAUUUUGAACCGCAUGGUUCAAAAGUGAAAGACGGUCUUGCUGUCACUUAUAGAUGGAUCCGCGCUGCAUUAGCUAGUUGGUAAGGUAACGGCUUACCAAGGCAACGAUGCAUAGCCGACCUGAGAGGGUGAUCGGCCACACUGGAACUGAGACACGGCCCAGACUCCUACGGGAGGCAGCAGUAGGGAAUCUUCCGCAAUGGGCAAAAGCCUGACGGAGCAACGCCGCGUGAGUGAUGAAGGUCUUCGGAUCGUAAAACUCUGUUAGUAGGGAAGAACAUAUGUGUAAGUAACUGUGCACAUCUUGACGGUACCUAAUCAGAAAGCCACGGCUAACUACGUG